rnacentral:rRNA from 1 species
AGCGAACGCUGGCGGCAGGCCUAACACAUGCAAGUCGAACGAAGUCUUCGGACUUAGUGGCGGACGGGUGAGUAACACGUGGGAACGUGCCUUUAGGUUCGGAAUAACUCAGGGAAACUUGUGCUAAUACCGAAUGUGCCCUUCGGGGGAAAGAUUUAUCGCCUUUAGAGCGGCCCGCGUCUGAUUAGCUAGUUGGUGAGGUAAAGGCUCACCAAGGCUACGAUCAGUAGCUGGUCUGAGAGGAUGACCAGCCACAUUGGGACUGAGACACGGCCCAAACUCCUACGGGAGGCAGCAGUGGGGAAUCUUGCGCAAUGGGCGAAAGCCUGACGCAGCCAUGCCGCGUGGAUGAUGAAGGUCUUAGGAUUGUAAAAUCCUUUCACCGGUGAAGAUAAUGACUGUAGCCGGAGAAGAAGCCACGGCUAACUACGUGCCAGCCGCCGCAGUAACAC